AAAUUUAAAGAGACAAAAAGAGACUUGAAAGAACUACGGGAGUUGAAUUUACAAAAUAUUUCAUUCACUUCAACAACUCUAUAUUAACUGUUUUCAUUCAUAUUUUUUUUCUCCUUUCUCUUUUUUCUUCUUCUUUUUUUCUUUUUCAUAAGGAGUAUAUAUUGACAUGUAUAUAUCCUUCUAUUUUUUUUUCUUUCAUUUUUUUUC
rnacentral:lncRNA from 1 species